GGGGGGAGUGAUUAGAGAAUUGAAACUUUCAUUCCGACACCCUGACCUUCAGGAAGGAGAGAGGGGUUGGAGGUUGAGUCAAUCACCAAUGGCCAAAGAGUCAAGCAAUCACACCUGUGUGAUGAAGCCUCCAUAAAAACCCAAAAGGACAGUGUUUAGAGAACUUCCUGGUUUGUGGAUAUACGGAGGUGCUGGGAGACUGGUGCUCCGGGAUAGGGCUUGGAAGCUCCACGUGCCUUUCCACAUACCUUGCCCUACAAAUCUCUUCCAUGUGGAUGUUCAUCUGUAUCCUGUAUCAUAUCCUUUUAUAACAAACUGCUGAAGUCAAGAAACUGGGCCACAGCCAAGCACACAUGCCUGAUGAGCGACAGAGGUGAUGCCAUCUGACUGCAGAGCGCAAGAGCCAAACCUUUGCACUAGUCACCCUCCUGACUCCAGGAGCAAACUAUGGCAUGCUCCUUUUUAAAGAAAGUAUGAGACUUUUCAGGAGGUAUUUUUCCUGGAUAUAUAAAUCAAUUCGAUUCAUAGCAAAGUGGCUUCAGAGAUGACUGCAAAGUAAAUUUUCAAUCACCCAAGCCUCUCCUUCCUUGACGCAUUUUCGGAUGGAAUGGUCUGUGCACAUCUAUCAAGUCCAUUUGGUCUAAUGCGCCAUUUAAGGCCAGUGUUUCCUUAUUGAUUUUCUGUCUGGAUGAUCUAUCCAUUGAGAUGAAGAGUAAGAACAAAAGAUCCUGGGGCUGCCCCAUGGCCUAGUGGUUAAGUUUGCGUGCUCCACUUCAGCGGCCCAGGCUUUCACUGGUUUGGAUUCUGGGUGCGGACGUGGCACUUCUCAUCAGGCCAUGCUGAGGCAGAGUCUCACAUAGCACAACCAGAAGGACCUACAACUAGAAUAUACAACUAUAUACCAGGGAGCUUCGAGGAGAAGAAGGAAAAAAAAAAAAGUAAAGGUUGGCAACAGAUGCCCAGGUGCCAAUCUUUAGAAAAACAAAACAAACCAAAAGAUCCUCAGCAUUUCAGCAUCCCUUGAGAAGUAAUCAUUAGGGGUAAUAAGGCUUUGCCAUUUUUUUUAGUAAGCUUGAAGGGGAAAUAGGAAAGAAACCAAAUAUGCUAAGAAUGAGAAAGGACAUUGAUGAUCAAGAGGCAGCUACCAAAGUAUUUUCUUUCUAGGCCUUAGAAGAAUUAAUAUUUGUUCUUGGGAGGUUGUGUGUAUUCAUGCUUUUAACAUAUGUGUUAAAAGAAAUAAAAAAAGAGUGAAUAUGGAACACAAAGAUGGGAUCUACCCUAAAGGGAACGUGAGGUUUCCUACUGCUGAGAUCUGGAGUUCAAAAUGCCCCCUUUCCCUCAUUCCUUCAUUCCCUCUUUCCUGAUGCCGUAGCAUCAACAUAGAAAUCCCACAGCAAACAUGAUUAAAGACCAGGAUGCUUCUCCAGCCUCAAUGUCUCAAACCCGGGGAACGGCUCUUGGGGCAUGAGUAAUGGAUUGGGUGGUGAAGGACCUCUUUCCAUGACUUCUCCCAAAAGUAGGGUGUAUGUGCUUGGGUAAGUUUUAAGGAGUUUUGUGGCCUUAGCAUGAAUCAGAGGGCAGUGGAGCCCAGUUAAGAAUGAGGUAGAAGCCCACAGCUGCAAUCUCUUGGCAAGGGGCUCUUUCCUUCUGGGAAAAUUUUUAUCACCAUGCCUGUAACAUAGUCAGCACUUGGUCAACGUUUCC
rnacentral:lncRNA from 1 species